rnacentral:rRNA from 1 species
UACGUAGGGGGCGAGCGUUGUCCGGAAUCAUUGGGCGGAAAGCGCGCGCAGGCGGCUCGGAGAGCCCGGCGUGAAAGCCCCCGGCUCAACCGGGGGAGGCCGUCGGGGACCUUCGGGCUGGAGGCCGGCAGGGGGGAGUGGAAUUCCCGGUGUAGUGGUGGAAUGCGUAGAGAUCGGGAGGAACACCGGUGGCGAAGGCGGCUCCCUGGGCCGGUCCUGACGCUGAGGCGCGAAAGCGUGGGGAGCGAGCCGG